rnacentral:rRNA from 1 species
UACGAAGGGGGCUAGCGUUGCUCGGAAUCACUGGGCGUAAAGCGCACGUAGGCGGCUUCUCAAGUCAGGGGUGAAAUCCUGGAGCUCAACUCCAGAACUGCCUUUGAUACUGAGGGGCUCGAGUCCGGGAGAGGUGAGUGGAACUGCGAGUGUAGAGGUGAAAUUCGUAGAUAUUCGCAAGAACACCAGUGGCGAAGGCGGCUCACUGGCCCGGUACUGACGCUGAGGUGCGAAAGCGUGGGGAUCAAACAGG